UGUGGGAGCGGGCUUGCUCGCGAAAGCGCUGGGUCAGUCGGCACAUCAGGUGACUGAUACACCGCUUUCGCGAGCAAGCCCGCUCCCACA
rnacentral:misc_RNA from 1 species